rnacentral:rRNA from 1 species
GUAGGUGGCAAGCGUUGUCCGGAAUUAUUGGGCGUAAAGCGCGCGCAGGCGGUUCUUUAAGUCUGAUGUGAAAGCCCACGGCUCAACCGUGGAGGGUCAUUGGAAACUGGAGAACUUGAGUACAGAAGAGGAAAGCGGAAUUCCACGUGUAGCGGUGAAAUGCGUAGAGAUGUGGAGGAACACCAGUGGCGAAGGCGGCUUUCUGGUCUGUAACUGACGCUGAGGCGCGAAAGCGUGGGGGAGCAAACAGGAUUAGAUACCCUGGUAGUCCACGCCGUAAACGAUGAGUGCUAAGUGUUAGGGGGUUUCCGCCCCCUUAGUGCUGCGGCUAACGCAUUAAGCACUCCGCCUGGGAGUACGGCCGCAAGGCUG